AAGGUUUUAAGUUAAAAAAACUCUUAGCCUUCAAAGUUAAAAAUAAUCAUCAUUAAACCUUG
rnacentral:tRNA from 1 species